rnacentral:rRNA from 1 species
AUGCAGUCGACGGCAGCACGGGAGCAAUCCUGGUGGCGAGUGGCGAACGGGUGAGUAAUAUAUCGGAACGUGCCCAGUUGUGGGGGAUAACGUAGAGAAAUUUACGCUAAUACCGCAUGAGAUCUACGGAUGAAAGCGGGGGACUCUGCAAAGAGCCUCGCGCGACUGGAGCGGCUGAUAUCAGAUUAGGUUGUUGGUGAGGUAAAAGCUCACCAAGCCGACGAUCUGUAGCUGGUUUGAGAGAACGACCAGCCACACUGGGACUGAGACACGGCCCAGACUCCUACGGGAGGCAGCAGUGGGGAAUUUUGGACAAUGGGCGAAAGCCUGAUCCAGCAAUGCCGCGUGCAGGAAGAAGGCCUUCGGGUUGUAAACUGCUUUUGUACGGAACGAAAAAGCUUUUUCUAAUAAAGAGAGCUCAUGACGGUACCGUAAGAAUAAGCACCGGCUAACUACGUGCCAGCAGCCGCGGUAAUACGUAGGGUGCGAGCGUUAAUCGGAAUUACUGGGCGUAAAGCGUGCGCAGGCGGUGAUGCAAGACAGUUGUGAAAUCCCCGGGCUCAACCUGGGAAUGGCAUCUGUGACUGCAUCGCUAGAGUACGGUAGAGGGGGAUGGAAUUCCGCGUGUAGCAGUGAAAUGCGUAGAUAUGCGGAGGAACACCGAUGGCGAAGGCAAUCCCCUGGACCUGUACUGACGCUCAUGCACGAAAGCGUGGGGAGCAAACAGGAUUAGAUACCCUGGUAGUCCACGCCCUAAACGAUGUCAACUGGUUGUUGGGUGCAUUAGUACUCAGUAACGAAGCUAACGCGUGAAGUUGACCGCCUGGGGAGUACGGCCGCAAGGUUG